rnacentral:rRNA from 1 species
GUAGGGAAUCUUCCACAAUGGACGAAAGUCUGAUGGAGCAACGCCGCGUGAGUGAAGAAGGUUCUCGGAUCGUAAAACUCUGUUGUGAGGGAAGAACAAGUACCGGAGUAACUGCCGGUACCUUGACGGUACCUCAUUAGAAAGCCACGGCUAACUACGUGCCAGCAGCCGCGGUAAUACGUAGGUGGCAAGCGUUGUCCGGAAUCAUUGGGCGUAAAGCGCGCGCAGGCGGUCCCUUAAGUCUGAUGUGAAAGCCCACGGCUCAACCGUGGAGGGUCAUUGGAAACUGGGGGACUUGAGUGCAGAAGAGGAAAGCGGAAUUCCAAGUGUAGCGGUGAAAUGCGUAGAGAUUUGGAGGAACACCAGUGGCGAAGGCGGCUUUCUGGUCUGUAACUGACGCUGAGGCGCGAAAGCGUGGGGAGCAAACAGGAUUAGAUACCCUAGUAGUCC